AACCCGUGAUGAGGGCAAUUUGGUCUGAUAGCGUUUGAAGCGCUCCCAUGCUUUACAGAAGGUUUCAGCAUUCUACUGUGUGAAUCCAGAUAUCUCAUUCCGGAGUCU
rfam:Arabidopsis thaliana chromosome 4, complete sequence.